UAGUUUAUAUGACAUGCAGUACCCAACUCUUUUUGAGGUUGAAUUGACUGUUAAUUUGCAUGAAUCAUAGACAAUUGUUGCAAAAUAUAGUAUUAUGAAUGUAAAUCUGAUGUACUUAUUUCUUGGUUAUCCAGGAUGCUGUUUCAUCAUAAAAAGCACCAAUACAUAUUGAGCUUGAAGUCUGACUAUUAAUUCCUGUUGAUUAUAUAGUUAAAACUAAAUACUUAUUCUGAUAUGAACUAAUGGUUAUAGUUUUAUACUUUUAUGAAUAUAAAUAUAUAACAGAGAUAUUAAUGGUCAAAGUUGGACUACAAAUCACAGAGGGUUUAUAUCAAUGGUCAAUGCUAUGCAAUAUGUAUACAAUUGCUGACUGUCAUUACAUAUUUUCAUGCUAGGCAAAGGGAGGAGGAUUAGCAUUUCUCCAAGUUAAUCAAUCUUCAUUGAAGGAGAAUAGUUCUUCUGGAAGACCAUCUGCUUUGCUGGCAUAUAUUAACAGGGAUCUGAAUAUGUUGUAUUUGACCCCCUUACCCAAGAACAACAAGAACUCAAUGUUCAUCGGAAGAAAGGUUCAGCGGAUUUCGAGGAAGCAGGACGAUCUGGGUACGCUUCUAUUUACGGGGAGCUGCCGCAUUUUGAUCCCAAGAAGAUUAUGCAAGCUACUAUUGUGCCGUCAGAGCGUCCUUGGGAGACCAUUUUCAACGGUCCCUCACAUGCUCUUCCGCCACUUACGAAAUUGUGUUCUGCAUUUUUGGAAUCAUUGCUUGAGAAGAGAACAGCUAGCACUGGCUGAUUUCUGAGCAGAAUUUUGAAUUGUAAUAGAAAUUUUGGCACGGAAAUCACCUUUGAUUUUCUUCUUCGUAUACGGUGUCUAUGUAACCACUUAUUUACUCUGCUUAAUGAAAUGAAGAAGCAUAUUUAAGUAUUAAUGAAA